AUGGAGAGGUAUGCAGAUCUAUGCACCGCAACAACACAUAUCGACCAGGUUAGGCAUCCCUCCUCUGCUCCACAUGGUAUCAGAGAGAGGGGCAUAGGCGGCGGCGGCGAUGGCGGGGUACAGCGGGGCGACGUGGCUGCGUGCGAGCUGGAUACGGGGCGCAUCUCCGGCAGGCGAGGCGCGGCGGCUUUGGCUGCACGUGGUGUGCGUUCGCCGGGAUGGAGAUUGAAAGAGAAUGCUGCUGCUGUGUGGGGGGCAGAAAAUAGUGGAGAAGAAGAGAUUGGGUAUGACUGGAGCUGCUGCUGCUGCUGCGAGCUGCUUCUGCUGAUUGGAGAGGAAGGAGGUGGAAGAAGAGGUGUUGCUGCUGCGUGUGGCUAUUCAAGGAGGAAGGCUAACUGCUGCGUGUGGCUGCCUGGGAAGAUCGUAGGUAGUGAGGUUGUGGAUAUGUUCAACGACUUGGCAGAGACCAUGACCGGAAGAGGACGCAUGUGUUGGGCAGCAAGUAUGUGGCAGCAGGCGUGUGCUUUGCUGCUUUCCCCCUGCGAAGUGAUGCAUGAAGUAGAGAAUACGGGUGAGACCGAACAGCAUGAUAGCCACGAGGAUACAAGUCUUCCAAGUUUGGCUCAUUUUAUCUAUUCUAAUGAGGGCAACACUGAAAAGGCCACAAUUGCUGCUCACAUAAAUGAUCCGGAGUGGGUAUUAGACUCUGGUGCAUCUCAACAUGUUGCAGGUGACUUCAGGGAAUUUGAGUCAUAUGAUCAGCACAUUCCCUCUCCAAGUAACAGUAUAUGUACUGCUGACGGGAAAUUGCGGCAUAUUAAGGGCAUUGGGACAGUUCAAUGUACCCCUACUAUUAAGCUAUCUUCGGUCCUACAUGUGCCAGCUUUCCUGGUCAAUCUGGUGUCUCUGAGUGCUCUAAUCAACCAUGUGGACUGUAGGAUAACACCGACAGAGGAAUGUGCUUGGUUCAGGACAGAGCCGACUGGAAUGAGAAUUGGGACUGGAAUAAGGCAUAGGGGACUGUGGAGGUACAUGGACCGUGGGCUUGGUCAGAUGGGCAGCUCAGUGUUUGCGGCGAUUGUGGAAGAAAGAGUCAUCGAUGAUGAAACAUCACUGCAGAAUGGGGCAUGUAUCCUUUGCUAA
rnacentral:rRNA from 1 species